UUUCUCUCUCUCCCAUUUUUCAGACAAAGAAGAGAAAAAUCCAUCUUCAUCAAAUCUGCUUAAACAAACCCAUCUUCAUCAAAUCUGCAAUAUGAAAUCUGAUUAAAACCUUCGUUUCAACAAAACCCAUCUUCAAGAAAUGUCGAUCUACAACCUAGAAACUUGAAAUCAUCCAAACCCUAGAAAAUCAAUUUUUCCUUGAAAUCCAAAAUCAAAUCAUUCAACACUUGAUUCAGCAGCAUUUUUGUGGAUUAUCGUCAGCGUUUUGUAUUUUAGCAACUGCCGUGGUAGUUGAUUUAACGAUGUUGUGAAGAUAUUAAAUAAUUGCAAAUGGUCUGGAACUCCUUCAUCGGCAUGUAUUUGAACCCUAACACAAGUAAUCACCUGCAGAAACUUAAGAAGAUGAAUCCAAUUAACGUGGAUACAGUGUUGAUAUUGAUGAGAAACCUCUUUAUGAAUCUAUCUAGCCCUGAUUUUGAAGAUCAAUUUCAGUUCCUCUCUCUAUAGAACCACGGAUUCUCUUCAGAACCCUUGUUGCAGGCUUCUACUUAUAAGUGUGAACAAUCAAUGGUUCCUCCUAGUCUUCAAUUGGCGAUAAGGAGCAAUACAUUAUACAUGCUGAUAAAGCAAUUGAGGAAGCAGCGCAGGAAGGGGCUCAACUUUGUAUAUUGCCUACGUUGUAUAAACAAGAGCUAAGCAUAGAACUGUACAUCUACAGUGGAAGUGGCCAUGGCGAUGGUAGUGGUGCAUAGCUGUAUGCAGUUUCUCGAAGACUUGCUGGUGCCUUCCUGGAUGUCCUAGUAACUUGCAUGCUAUGGCCCUAUUGGAUGCAAAUAAGGGAAAGCCUAUGCAAGGAAUUGUGGAGCAAGUUCGUGAUGGAAGUACUGAUGGAAGUACUAUCCGUGUUUACUUGCUUCCAGAAUUCCAGUUUGUUCAAACUUUUGUUGCCGGAAUUCAGUCACCAUCCAUGGGAAGAAGAAACGGUUGCUGAGCCUGAAGCAGAUUCUAUUGGUAGUACUUAUUUUUAAUCCCGUGUAUGAAGGAUACAUACUCAGUGGCGGGGCCAGAAAGUUAUGGUUGGGGGGACAAAUUUACAUAGUAGAGGCAUAGCGCAUAAUUGCAGCUGCAGGCCGCAAAGAAAAAACAAAAAUUGGACAUUUUCUCCAACAACAACGAAUUUUUUUUAUACUCUUAAUUUGGUAAACUCUUAAACUUACCAAAUCAAUACACAAUCAAUUAAUGCAAUUUAAGCAUAUAAUUGUAAUUGCAUAAGAAAUAAGUAAAUGAUUUUUGUCCGUUAGCACCAAUUAAGUAAAUAAUUAUAAUCAUAGCAGAUAAACUAGUUAAUUUUCCA